UUUCCGUAGGUGAACCUGCGGAAGGAUCAUUAUUGAAACUUGAAUCGUAGCAUUGAGAACUGUUGCUGACCUGUUAAAGGGUAUGUGCACGUUCGACGUGUUGCGUUCUGUUCAUCCACCUGUGCACCUUUGUAGACUUGAUUAACUUUCGCUCUCGAGCGGUUAGAAGGGUUGCUUUCGAGCUCCCUUUGUCUAUCAAGUCUAUGUCUAUAUAAUCUCUUGUAUGUCUAGAAUGUCUUGUUUAUGGGACGCAAGUCCUUUAAAUCUUAUACAACUUUCAACAACGGAUCUCUUGGCUCUC
rnacentral:misc_RNA from 1 species